CCUACGGGAGGCAGCAGUGGGGAAUAUUGGACAAUGGGCGAAAGCCUGAUCCAGCAAUGCCGCGUGAGUGAUGAAGGCCUUAGGGUUGUAAAGCUCUUUUACCCGGGAUGAUAAUGACAGUACCGGGAGAAUAAGCUCCGGCUAACUCCGUGCCAGCAGCCGCGGUAAUACGGAGGGAGCUAGCGUUAUUCGGAAUUACUGGGCGUAAAGCGCACGUAGGCGGCUUUGUAAGUAAGAGGUGAAAGCCUGGUGCUCAACACCAGAACUGCCUUUUAGACUGCAUCGCUUGAAUCCAGGAGAGGUGAGUGGAAUUCCGAGUGUAGAGGUGAAAUUCGUAGAUAUUCGGAAGAACACCAGUGGCGAAGGCGGCUCACUGGACUGGUAUUGACGCUGAGGUGCGAAAGCGUGGGGAGCAAACGAGGAUUAGAUACCCGUGGUACGUCCACGCCGUAAACGAUGAUAACUAGCUGUCGGGGCUCGUUAGAGCUUCGGUGGCGCAGCUAACGCAUUAAGUUAUCCGCCGUGGGGAGUACGGCCGCAAAGUUAAAACUCAAAUGAAUUGACGG
rnacentral:rRNA from 1 species